rnacentral:tRNA from 1 species
GCAGUGGUAGUUCAGUGGUAGAAUUCUUGCCUUCCAUGAGGGAGACCUGGCUUAAUUCCUGGCCAGUGCA